rnacentral:tRNA from 1 species
GCUUAGUGGGUUAGAGCGUCGGCCUUAUGUGCUGAAGGUUGAGGGUUUGACUCCCUC